CCAAUUCGUGGUAAGCUUGGGUCAAAGAGACUCAUAGGUGUUAUAAAGACUCGCUGGUGUUUGUCUCCUUGAGGCAUACGGCUUUAACCAAAACUCUCAAAGUUUGACCUCAAAUCAGGUAGGAGUACCCGCUGAACUUAAGCAUAUCAAUAAGCGGAGGAAAAGAAACCAACCGGGAUUGCCUUAGUAACGGCGAGUGAAGCGGCAAAAGCUCAAAUUUGAAAUCUGGCGUCUUCGACGUCCGAGUUGUAAUUUGAAGAAGGCGACUUUGUAGCUGGUCCUUGUCUAUGUUCCUUGGAACAGGACGUCAUAGAGGGUGAGAAUCCCGUGUGGCGAGGAUCCCAGUUAUUUGUAAAGUGCUUUCGACGAGUCGAGUUGUUUGGGAAUGCAGCUCUAAGUGGGUGGUAAAUUCCAUCUAAAGCUAAAUAUUGGCGAGAGACCGAUAGCGAACAAGUACAGUGAUGGAAAGAUGAAAAGAACUUUGAAAAGAGAGUGAAAAAGUACGUGAAAUUGUUGAAAGGGAAGGGCAUUUGAUCAGACAUGGCGUUUGCUUCGGCUUUCGCUGGGCCAGCAUCAGUUUUAGCGGUUGGAUAAAUCCUCGGGAAUGUGGCUCUGCUUCGGUAGAGUGUUAUAGCCCGUGGGAAUACAGCCAGCUGGGACUGAGGAUUGCGACUUUUGUCAAGGAUGCUGGCGUAAUGGUUAAAUGCCGCCCGUCUUGAAA
rnacentral:rRNA from 1 species